rnacentral:SRP_RNA from 1 species
CGCCAGGGACUACGGAGUUCUGGCUUUCGAAUCCCGCCAGGUCCUGACGGAAGCAACGGUAGAUUGUCCAGUUUCUGCUGUAGUUCUCUGGCGGCA